rnacentral:rRNA from 1 species
UACAGAGGUCUCAAGCGUUGUUCGGAUUCAUUGGGCGUAAAGGGUGCGUAGGCGGCGCCGUAAGUCUGGUGUGAAAUCCCGGGGCUUAACCCCGGAACUGCACUGGAUACUGCGGUGCUCGAGGACUGGAGAGGAGAUUGGAAUUCACGGUGUAGCAGUGAAAUGCGUAGAUAUCGUGAGGAAGACCAGUGGCGAAGGCGGAUCUCUGGACAGUUCCUGACGCUGAGGCACGAAGGCCAGGGGAGCAAACGGG